GAACCCUUGGCGCAGCGGUAGCGCGUGAGAUUCCAGUUUGUCGCUUUCUGGGAAAUCCUCAAGGUCAUCCGUUCAAAUCGGGUAGGGUUCA